rnacentral:rRNA from 1 species
UACGUAGGGUGCGAGCGUUAAUCGGAAUUACUGGGCGUAAAGCGUGCGUAGGCGGUUCUCCAAGUCCGUUGUGAAAGCCCCGGGCUCAACCUGGGAAUGGCAGUGGAAACUAGGGGACUGGAAUCUGGCAGAGGGGGGUGGAAUGCCGCGUGUAGCAGUGAAAUGCGUAGAGAUGUGGAGGAACACCGAUGGCGAAGGCAGCCCCCUGGGUCAAGAUUGACGCUCAUGCACGAAAGCGUGGGGAGCAAACAGG